AGAGUUUGAUCAUGGCUCAGAACGUACGCUGGCGGCACGCCUAACACAUGCAAGUCGAACGAAGUAGCAAUACUUAGUGGCAGACGGGUGAGUAACAUGUAGGUAUCUGCCCUUUGGCCUGGAAUAACACGAGGAAACUUGUGCUAAUACCGGAUAAGUCUUUACGGAGAAAGCUUUAUGCACCAUUGGAUGAGCCUGCACUUGAUUAGUUUGUUGGUGGGGUAAUGGCCUACCAAGACUGUGAUCAAUAGCUGAUUUGAGAGGAUGAUCAGCCACAUUGGGACUGAGACACGGCCCAAACUCCUACGGGAGGCAGCAGUGGGGAAUCUUGCACAAUGGAGGAAACUCUGAUGCAGCGAUGCCGCGUGAGUGAAGAAGGCCCUUGGGUUGUAAAGCUCUUUCGUCGGGGAAGAAAAUGACUGUACCCGAAUAAGAAGGUCCGGCUAACUUCGUGCCAGCAGCCGCGGUAAUACGAAGGGACCUAGCGUAGUUCGGAAUUACUGGGCUUAAAGAGUUCGUAGGUGGUUGAAAAAGUUAGUGGUGAAAUCCCAGAGCUUAACUCUGGAACUGCCAUUAAAACUUUUCAGCUAGAGUAUGAUAGAGGAAAGCAGAAUUUCUAGUGUAGAGGUGAAAUUCGUAGAUAUUAGAAAGAAUACCAAUUGCGAAGGCAGCUUUCUGGAUCAUUACUGACACUGAGGAACGAAAGCAUGGGUAGCGAAGAGGAUUAGAUACCCUCGUAGUCCAUGCCGUAAACGAUGUGUGUUAGACGUUGGAAAUUUAUUUUCAGUGUCGCAGGGAAACCGAUAAACACACCGCCUGGGGAGUACGACCGCAAGGUUAAAACUCAAAUGAAUUGACGGGGACCCGCACAAGUAGUGGAGCAUGUGGUUUAAUUCGAAGAUACGCGCAGAACCUUACCAACACUUGACAUGUUCGUCGCAACUCUAAGAGAUUAGAGUUUUCGGUUCGGCCGGACGAAACACAGGUGCUGCAUGGCUGUCGUCAGCUCGUGUCGUGAGAUGUUGGGUUAAGUCCCGCAACGAGCGCAACCCUCACUUUUAGUUGCCAUCAUUAAGUUGGGCACUCUGAAAGAACUGCCAGUGAUAAGCUGGAGGAAGGUGGGGAUGACGUCAAGUCCUCAUGGCCCUU
rnacentral:rRNA from 1 species